CAGGACGAACGCUGGCGGCGCGCCUAACACAUGCAAGUCGAACGGAGCUACGUUUUCAGAAGUUUUCGGAUGGACGAAGAUUUAGCUUAGUGGCGAACGGGUGAGUAACGCGUGGGUAACCUGCCUUUUAGAGGGGGACAACAGUUGGAAACGACUGCUAAUACCGCAUAAGCGCACAGCUUCGCAUGAAGCAGUGUGAAAAACUCCGGUGGUAUGAGAUGGACCCGCGUCUGAUUAGCUAGUUGGUGGGGUAACGGCCCACCAAGGCGACGAUCAGUAGCCGACCUGAGAGGGUGACCGGCCACAUUGGGACUGAGACACGGCCCAAACUCCUACGGGAGGCAGCAGUGGGGAAUAUUGCACAAUGGGCGAAAGCCUGAUGCAGCGACGCCGCGUGAGCGAAGAAGUAUUUCGGUAUGUAAAGCUCUAUCAGCAGGGAAGAAAAUGACGGUACCUGACUAAGAAGCACCGGCUAAAUACGUG
rnacentral:rRNA from 1 species